rnacentral:misc_RNA from 1 species
UCCGGUUUGACACCGGCAGUCUCGCUAGAGUACUCGCCAUGACGCGUGAGCAACUAACGACAGGGGUUGCGCUCGUUAAGGGACUUAACCCGACACUUCACAGCACGAGCUGACGACAGCCAUGCAGCACCUGUGCAUGUUCCACCCUUGCGGGUGUGGCUCCUGUUUCCAGGAGUUAAUCCAUGCAUGUCAAGCCCAGGUAAGGUUCUUCGCGUUGCCUCGAAUUAAGCAACAUGCUCCACCGCUUGUGUGAGCCCCCGUCAAUUCCUUUGAGUUUUAGCCUUGCGACCGUACUCCCCAGGCGGUACGCUUAACGUUUUUACUUCGACCGAGACGACGUCAGAGCCGCCCCGAUCCAGCGUACAUCGUUUACGGCGUGGACUAC